GGGAUCUCUGGCAUGACGUGACACUUCCUACGGCUCCCAUGGGCUCUCAGAAGGCGGGAAAAAGCUGAAUGAUGUAAUUCCAUCCCCAGGCUGAAACACAUUAGCGCGUUUGGCAAGUGCUCUAUCAGAGGGCCAUUAGACUGAGGCUCGUGCAUGAGGGAAUAGCAUGCUUUUACUUUCACUCUCUUUGUAAUAAAAAACGAUUUCCCGGUUGGAAUAUUAUCUCUUUUUUACGAGAAAAAUGGCAUAAAAAUUUAUUUUAAACAGCGGUUGACAUGCUUCGAAGUACGGUAAUGGAAUAUUUAGAAUUUUUUUGUCACGAAAUGCGCCGUGCUCGUAACCCUUAUUUACCCUUUCGGAUAGUGUCUUGAACGCACAAACAAAACGCCGCUAUUUGGAUAUAACAAUGGAUUAUUUGGGACCAAACCAACAUUUGUUAUUGAAGUAGAAGUCCUGGGAGUGCAUUCUGAUGAAGACAGCAAAAACAACAUCUGUAAGGUUCCUCAAUCAAGUAUUGAAUUUCAAGCUCAGAUUCAAGUACACAGACCAGGGAGCUUUUUCAAAAGCUGCAUAAAGAAGAGCAGCCAUUGGUAGAUGGGUGACAAUAACAAAUCAGACAUUUAAUAUCUCUUUAAACAUGGUCAAGUUAAUAAUUAUGCUGUGGAUUAUGUAUUAAACCACCCAGAAGCAUCAAAGAUACAGUCAUCCUUCUGAACUGAGCUGCAUUACAAGAAUGAAACUGCUCAGGGAUGUUCUCAUGAGGCCAGUGAUGAGUUUAAAACAGCUACAGAGUUCAAUGGCUGUGAUGGG
rnacentral:lncRNA from 1 species